UCCUACGGGAGGCAGCAGUGGGGAAUAUUGCACAAUGGGCGCAAGCCUGAUGCAGCCAUGCCGCGUGUAUGAAGAAGGCCUUCGGGUUGUAAAGUACUUUCAGCGGGGAGGAAGGCGACGGGGUUAAUAACCCUGUCGAUUGACGUUACCCGCAGAAGAAGCACCGGCUAACUCCGUGCCAGCAGCCGCGGUAAU
rnacentral:rRNA from 1 species